GACGAACGCUGGCGGCGUGCCUAAUACAUGCAAGUCGAGCGAAUCUUUGGGGGCUUGCUCCCAAAGAUUAGCGGCGGACGGGUGAGUAACACGUGGGCAACCUGCCUAUAAGACUGGGAUAACUUCGGGAAACCGGAGCUAAUACCGGAUCAUUCAUAUCUACUCAUGUAGGUAUGUUAAAAGACGGUUUACGCUGUCGCUUAUAGAUGGGCCCGCGGCGCAUUAGCUAGUUGGUGAGGUAACGGCUCACCAAGGCAACGAUGCGUAGCCGACCUGAGAGGGUGAUCGGCCACACUGGGACUGAGACACGGCCCAGACUCCUACGGGAGGCUG
rnacentral:rRNA from 1 species